rnacentral:rRNA from 1 species
AAGCAAAGCAGUGAUGUGGAGCAAAACCCGAAAAGCAGCUUAGUUCGGAUUGUAGGCUGCAACUCGCCUACAUGAAGUCGGAAUUGCUAGUAAUCGCGGAUCAGCAUGCUGCGGUGAAUACGUUCCCGGGCCUUGUACACACCGCCCGUCAAGCCAUGGGAGCCGGGGGUGCCUGAAGUUCGUGACCGCAAGGAGCGACCUAGGGCAAAACUGGUGACUGGGGCUAAGUCGUAACAAGGUACC